AUAUGAUGGAAAUUUCCCUUAAUUAAAAGUUAAAAACAAACUCCCAAAUAUGCAUAAUUAAUACAGAAUUUUUUUGUCAUGGUUUAAGUUCCAAGCAUGUAACUCAUCUGAACAAUUUAUCUGUUUUAAAAUAUAACGAAUUUCCUCUUGGCUAGAUCCCAUCUGUAGGAGGUAAGCCGAAAAGGUGUACUGCACAAGAAGAAAACAAUGCAGAGCUUUCAGUUUGGCCAAGAAGACAGGCUAGGUUCAAGCAGUACUUGAAGAUUGCUUGUUAACCCCAGCAUAGAGGGUAAGAGUAUACCCUCGGGGUCAGACUCCCUGGUUUAACUCCUGGGUAACUUAGAAAGUGUUGCCUACAUUUUCAACGUGUUGGUAGAUUUUUUCCAUCUGUGAAAUAGGAAGCAUAAGGAGAAGCAGAAGGUGCCAAGAGAGCAAGCAAGGGGACACCUAGCCUGAGCCGGGGGCCUCUUGAGAAGGUGAUAUUCAAAGGGAUAGCAAAGACAUGAGCAGCUAAAGUCCAGCAAACAGGGUGAAAGAAGAUGAUAACAGGCUUUCUGGGCUUUGAAAGCAGCCUGAAGUCCGCAGGAACAGAAAGAAGCAACAUGAAUGGUGAAGGAACUGAGGGAAGGCUGGCUUGCCUAGGUCUGGGUCUGGGGAAUAGCAAGCUAGAAUCCGUAGUUGGAGAAGUCAGCAGAGAUCAAGGACCUGGCAAGCCAUGUGAAGGAUUUUGAAUUUUAUUCUGAAUCCAUGAAAAGACUCCCCUUCCAAAAGCGAUGGCUUCUGGAAUUUGCUUCCAAUAGUCCAAGAACACUGGAGAGAGUGGGUGGGGUAUAUGUGAAGCAAAAUUGGUCAUUCAUUGAUAAUUGAAUGAAGCUGGGUGAUGGGUACAUGGAUAUUCAUUAUAUUCUCAAUUUUUGUGAAUGUUUUAAAUUUUUCAUAA